AUUGAACGCUGGCGGCAGGCCUAACACAUGCAAGUCGAACGGUAACAGGAAGAAGCUUGCUUCUUUGCUGACGAGUGGCGGACGGGUGAGUAAUGUCUGGGAAACUGCCUGAUGGAGGGGGAUAACUACUGGAAACGGUAGCUAAUACCGCAUAACGUCGCAAGGCCAAAGAGGGGGACCUUCGGGCCUCUUUCCAUCGGAUGUGCCCAGAUGGGAUUAGCUAGUAGGUGGGGUAACGGCUCACCUAGGCGACGAUCCCUAGCUGGUCUGAGAGGAUGACCGGCCACACUGGAACUGAGACACGGUCCAGACUCCUACGGGAGGCAGCAGUAGGGAAUAUUGCGCAAUGGGCGCAAGCCUGAUGCAGCCAUGCCGCGUGUAUGAAGAAGGCCUUCGGGUUGUAAAGUACUUUCAGCGGGGAGGAAGGGAGUAAAGUUAAUACCUUUGCUCAUUGACGUUACCCGCAGAAGAAGCACCGGCUAACUCCGUG
rnacentral:rRNA from 1 species